GACGAACGCUGGCGGCGUGCUUAACACAUGCAAGUCGAACGGAAAGGCCCUGCUUGCAGGGUACUCGAGUGGCGAACGGGUGAGUAACACGUGGGUGAUCUGCCCUGCACUUCGGGAUAAGCCUGGGAAACUGGGUCUAAUACCGGAUAGGAGCCAUUUUUAGUGUGAUGGUUGGAAAGUUUUUUCGGUGUAGGAUGAGCUCGCGGCCUAUCAGCUUGUUGGUGGGGUAAUGGCCUACCAAGGCGGCGACGGGUAGCCGGCCUGAGAGGGUGGACGGCCACAUUGGGACUGAGGGAAGGCCCAGACUCCGACGGGAGGCAGCAGUGGGGAAUAUUGCACAAUGGGCGCAAGCCUGAUGCAGCGACGCCGCGGGGGGGAUGACGGCCUUCGGGUUGUAAACUCCUUUCGCUAGGGACGAAGCUUUUUGUGACGGUACCUAGAUAAGAAGCACCGGCUAACUACGUG
rnacentral:rRNA from 1 species